rnacentral:rRNA from 1 species
UGAGGAAUAUUGGUCAAUGGGCGAGAGCCUGAACCAGCCAAGCCGCGUGAAGGAAGAAGGAUCUAUGGUUUGUAAACUUCUUUUACAGGGGGGUAAAGAGAGUGACGCGUCACUUAUUGCAAGUACCCUGUGAAUAAGCAUCGGCUAACUCCGUGCCAGCAGCCGCGGUAAUACGGAGGAUGCGAGCGUUAUCCGGAUUCAUUGGGUUUAAAGGGUGCGUAGGCGGACUAUUAAGUCAGUGGUGAAAUCCUGCAGCUUAACUGCAGAACUGCCAUUGAUACUGAUAGCCUUGAGUUUGGUUAAGGUAGGCGGAAUGUGUAAUGUAGCGGUGAAAUGCUUAGAUAUUACACAGAACACCAAUUGCGUAGGCAGCUUACUGAGCCGACACUGACGCUGAGGCACGAAAGCGUGGGGAUCGAACA